GACGUUAUGGUGGGCACUCUAAGGAGACUGCCGGUGACAAACCGGAGGAAGGUGGGGAUGACGUCAAGUCAUCAUGGCCCUUACGGCCCUGGGCUACACACGUGCUACAAUGGUCGGUACAAAGGGUUGCCAAGCCGCGAGGUGGAGCUAAUCCCAUAAAACCGAUCGUAGUCCGGAUCGCAGUCUGCAACUCGACUGCGUGAAGUCGGAAUCGCUAGUAAUCGUGAAUCAGAAUGUCACGGUGAAUACGUUCCCGGGCCUU
rnacentral:rRNA from 1 species